rnacentral:rRNA from 1 species
GACGAACGCUGGCGGCGUGCUUAACACAUGCAAGUCGAACGGAAAGGCCCCUUCGGGGGUACUCGAGUGGCGAACAGGUGAGUAACACGUGAGUAACCUGCCCUUGACUUCGGGAUAACUUCAGGAAACUGGGGCUAAUACCGGAUAGGAAUCCUUGCUGCAUGGUGGGGGUUGGAAAGCUUCGGCGGUUUUGGAUGGACUCGCGGCUUAUCAGCUUGUUGGUGGGGUAGUGGCUUACCAAGGCUUUGACGGGUAGCCGGCCUGAGAGGGCGACCGGCCACAUUGGGACUGAGAUACGGCCCAGACUCCUACGGGAGGCAGCAGUGGGGAAUUUUGCACAAUGGGCGGAAGCCUGAUGCAGCAACGCCGCGUGCGGGAUGACGGCCUUCGGGUUGUAAACCGCUUUCAGCAGGGGCGAAGCUUGUGGUGACGGUACCUGCAGAAGAAGCACCGGCUAACUACGUG